GUAGGGAAUAUUGGGCAAUGGAUGCAAGUCUGACCCAGCCAUCCCGCGUGCCGGAAGAAGGCCCUCAGGGUUGUAAACGGCUUUUGACGGUGAAGAAUCGACAGGAUGCGUCCUGUUUUGACGGUAUCCGUUGAAUAAGCACCGGCUAACUCCGUGCCAGCAGCCGCGGUAAUACGGAGGGUGCGAGCGUUGUCCGGAUUUAUUGGGUUUAAUGGGUGCGUAGGCUGGAAGGUCAGUCAGCGGUGAAAAGCUGUCGCUUAACGAUAGUAUUGCCGCAGAUACUUCCUUUCUUGGAUGAGGAGGAGGCCACUGGAACGGAUGGUGUAGCGGUGAAAUGCAUAGAUAUCAUCCAGAACACCGAUUGCGAAGGCAGGUGGCUGUACCUUAAUCGACGCUGAUGCACGAAAGCAUGGGGAGCAAACAGGAUUAGAAACCCCGGUAGUCC
rnacentral:rRNA from 1 species